GGGGAUUUAGCUCAGUGGCAUAAGCACCUGCCUUGCAAGCAGGAGGUCGUUAGUUCGAUCCCUG
rnacentral:tRNA from 1 species